rnacentral:rRNA from 1 species
UACGAAGGGGGCUAGCGUUGCUCGGAAUCACUGGGCGUAAAGCGCACGUAGGCGGAUUGCUAAGUCAGGGGUGAAAUCCUGGAGCUCAACUCCAGAACUGCCUUUGAUACUGGCGACCUUGAGUCCGGGAGAGGUGAGUGGAACUGCGAGUGUAGAGGUGAAAUUCGUAGAUAUUCGCAAGAACACCAGUGGCGAAGGCGGCUCACUGGCCCGGUACUGACGCUGAGGUGCGAAAGCGUGGGGAGCAACAGGAUUAAG